CAAGUCGAGCGGAUGAAGGGAGCUUGCUCCUGGAUUCAGCGGCGGACGGGUGAGUAAUGCCUAGGAAUCUGCCUGGUAGUGGGGGAUAACGUUCCGAAAGGAACGCUAAUACCGCAUACGUCCUACGGGAGAAAGCAGGGGACCUUCGGGCCUUGCGCUAUCAGAUGAGCCUAGGUCGGAUUAGCUAGUUGGUGAGGUAAUGGCUCACCAAGGCGACGAUCCGUAACUGGUCUGAGAGGAUGAUCAGUCACACUGGAACUGAGACACGGUCCAGACUCCUACGGGAGGCAGCAGUGGGGAAUAUUGGACAAUGGGCGAAAGCCUGAUCCAGCCAUGCCGCGUGUGUGAAGAAGGUCUUCGGAUUGUAAAGCACUUUAAGUUGGGAGGAAGGGCUGUAGGCUAAUAUCCUGCGGUUUUGACGUUACCAACAGAAUAAGCACCGGCUAACUUCGUGCCAGCAGC
rnacentral:rRNA from 1 species